CUAGCUUGCAGAAUUCUCACCUGCGUGCCUGUGUGCAGGUCAAGCUGAAGUCUAAGAAGAUCUUAUUGCCACAUGGUGGUUCACAGAUUAACUAAACCUGAACAUCCCUGGCCAUCCUUUUUCCUCACAGGACCUUCCUUGGGAAUAAAAAAAUCUAUUGCAAGGAAGAGACAGGAUUUCCUUACAUGAAAAGCAUAUAAUGUGAAGAUGUAUUGUUGGCACGGCUUUUCUAAAGCUUCUGAAGAAAUGGGCACCAGCCAGGAUGAGGUGGUGGGCUCCCAAUGGCCCGCGAGAUGCUGGCUCAAUCUGGAAUCCAGUUUCACCUUCUGCUGUGGUUACAUUUCUACCCUGUGAACAUCUCUCUUCUGAGUUUUGUAGCUGGUGAUUAACAGAGUCCAUUGCCUACUGGACAGCACAUAACAAGCACACUUGACAUCAACACCUGGCUGUGUCCAGAAAUGCUUGUCUUUCACAGGAAAUGAAGAGCGAUGAGGUUCUGAGUCUGGAAGUCAGGGGUGGGUUCCAGAGGUCUGCGUUUCUGACAAGCUCACAGUUCGCGGUGACGAUGUUGACCCGCCGGGCCGGUGCUUGGAGUAUCCGGUCUCGGAACACCGAUGUCAGCGUGACGACAGUUGCUCCCAAGCUUGGUGAAACUUGAACUUACUGGUCACUCACCUCUUGAAGAACCUACUGAGAAGAGCGUUCACAGAGCAACUCGAUGGGAGAAAUUAAGCUUUUUCGUAACUUGCGUAAACACGAGCUGUGGGCAGCAGGGGCGCCACCAAGCUGAGGCGUCAGCGGAGUAAAACGUCCCAGCUGCUGCGAGACCCUGAGCCACGUCCUGAAAGGGUGACAGUGACUCAGCUCACUGCCGGGGCAGCGACGGUCCCGGCAGCGUUCUUCGUCAGCCGUCAGCUCUGCGGCUGCCUUGCUUUGCCUGGUGGGCGACCAUCAUCUGGCUGCCUGCCAGCUCCCGGGAGAUACCCCGUCUCUCUGAUCACCCUUCCCACUCCCGCAGCUAAAUGACUAGCUGCCUCCCAUAAGGGCUCCCCUUCCACUCCUAGGUGUGGAAUGACCUGGCCCGGCCCUGCUGGCUCUCUCCAAGCAUCUCCUGACCUCUGGCCCGCUUCUCCGCUCAGGUGCCAGCCAGCCAAGGGCAGAUGAGCUGAGUGCGCCCCCUGCUGCUUCACCUUGUUACCUGCAGCGCUGGCUCUGCUUCCCCAGCCACCCCUCGGGGGGUGGGGGUUGCAAAGCUGCAGAAUCCGACCCUGACAAAGACGCAGCGUGGGUCAGCUUUCCAAGCAGCUACCCUGCUCUAACCUCCAACAUCACACCUGAAAGCUAGCCCAGGACCUCCCCGCAGACAGCCUCUUUGCCUUUAUCAGGUCUGGUCUGGAAAGGAAGUUGGGGUCCAGUGGGUUGGGAGGAAGGACUGGGAUUUUUCCUGGGAUGGGCUUCGUGCUCUGGGGGAGCGUGGGGUCGCCAGGUGCAAGCGGUACUGAGCCUUUCCUCCGCAGGAGAGAAAGGGGUCAGAGACAAAGCAGGGUCAGAACAAAGCCCGUCUCGAAUUUCAGACGACUUGCUAAGGAGAUCUGAGGCUCCCAGGGGCAGCAUGCUUUGCAUAUAGACAACUUGCAAAUGAGCAGUCUGUUUGACUAGACAGGGUGCUACAGUUCUGGUUAAAAAAAAAUGUGCCAAUGCAUUUCUAAUUUUCACAUUGUUUUUACAUAAAUUUGCACAUUCGACUCAUGAGGCCUUAUAUUCAAGUAUCAGAGUGAUUCACAACUAAUUAAUACCCUUCACUUCAGCUGCAUUCAAAUUCGGGCAUCAGACCAGGAUGAAUAGAAAAAUAUCUAAAUAUGUAAAAAUCAUUCUUUUUAAUUACAACACGGAAUCGGGGGACAGAGGCACACCUGAGUGCGCUGUUGGGAGGUUGGGCUUGAGUUCCAUUGUCAUCUUUCUCAGUCGUUUCUGCUCAGUUUCUUCACGCCCUGGGCUCAGUACGGUCUUCAAGAAACCAGCAGCGGAUUUUGGUUCCUGGCCUCCUGUGGGGGAGAAACAGAGGUCAAUCGGACUGCUCAGGCUCUCCUUUGGUUCUGGUGUAUCGCUUUGGAGAAAUGAGAGUUUAAUAGCUUUUCAAGGUGUUUGCUCUGAAGUUCAGAUGGUAAAAGAUGAGCUUUCUGUUUCCUAUUGUGUUUCAUCAGGAAGGGCUCUGUUCACAUCAACGGUCUUUCUGGACCCGAGAGAUUCUUUGAACAGUUCCCUCCGACUGCAAUGUUCUCUCUCUCCUCUUUCCCAUCCUUUCCUAUGGACUGAGCUUUUAUAGAAACUGAAAGUUCCACCAUUGGAUUUAUUAUUUGGAGUCUCCACUGACCCUCUUUGAGGCAAAAAUACCCUGAGGAGAAUAGUCCACGAACCAUUAGCUGUCCAGGCAUCCGAGUGGCAUUAAAGGAGAAAGGCAGUGAAGUGUUGGAGAGAGGAAAGUAGCAUGAAGGGCUGAGAAUUUACUGAGUGUGAAAAGCACUGGACUUGGAAUCAGAAGCUCUGAGUUCUAGGUCUACUUCUGCUGGAAACACUAGACCAACUGUUAAGGCUUUUAUAAUGAAGAUGAAGCCUUAUUAAAAGUCUGGAGGAUGGUACAACCAGUUUCAAAAAUGGCUAAAGCCAAAUAUACACAGCUCCUAUGACACGGUCAUUCCAUUCCCGGGUAAAGACCUGAACACGCCCAUAAAUGGAGUUCCACGAAAGACAUGAAUAUAUAAUGUUCAUGUAGCCCCAUUCACAAUAGCUCCAAACAGGAAAUGAUCCAAGUGUCCAUCAAAAGUAGAAUGGGCACAUAACGGUGAUCUGUUCACCUAUGUCAUCUGACACACAAAUUAGGCUGAAUGAGCCACCACGGCAGAGUUAAUGUUGAGUGACAGAAGCCAGACACACAAGAACACGUGCAAAAACAGGCAACAGUCCUCUAUGAUGUUAGAGUUCAUGGUGCUAUUACCCUUGGAUGAGGGAAAAAAGAGACCCAUAGGGGUCAGAAGUGUGCCAUACUUCAAUGGAGAGUUAAAAAUAACAACACUUCUAGUAAAAACAGAGUAGGGGAUGAUCUAUGUCCUGCCGUAGAGAAGGCGAGUGACACACGGUAACACUUGACUUGAGAUGACAUCAUGGAAGAAUAAAGCAGGAGGUAGAAGUUGGGGCUCGGGGCAGGUAGGGACUAGGAGGGGGGUAGGGACUAGGAGGUAGGUAGGGAGACAGACGUUUCUCCUUCACCAUCUAACAACGGUUGGUUCUGUUAACCAUCCAAUGGUUACUAACUAACCAUGGCUUCGUAAUUUUGUGAUCAAUUUAACAUUUCCCAAAUGUCUAAAAACAUUAAUCUUUGUGGACCUUUCAUAAAGUACUUUUGGGUUAAUCAGUCCUAGAGAAACCUCCAAGCCAAUCCUCUUCAGAAGGCAAUGCUGGUGUUCUUUUCACUUCCUUAGUGACCCAUAAUCUUAACGUGGAAAAUCAACUUGUGUAUUUUGCUAGUAUCUCCUAUUGUCGUUCGUGAACUUGAUAAAGACUUCCUCACUUCCAUUUAAAAAAUUUUUUUAAAUUUUAUUUA